rnacentral:sRNA from 1 species
AAUAUUCUUACAAGCUCCGUUUUAAUGGCACCAGCAUCAGAAGAUGAAGACAAUGUUCUCAAAGCAUUUACAGUACCUAAAAACAGGUCCCUGGCGAGCCCCUUGCAGGCAACCAAAGCUCAGAGACUGUUCCAAUUUUAAAUGAAGUCUGAAAUUAGUCAGACAGAAAAUAAUUGCAAUGUAUUUGACUGUCAGAAUAAGAAAGUCAACUGUCAAUGUUGUGAGGCCAAUCUGAAGUUGACCAUCUGCUGUCAGGUUUUAAUAUCAAAAGAGAUUUCCCUUGUAACCCUAAAGUGGGUGUGUGUUGAUGAAAUAUAACAAAUUCCAAAUUAAUCCUGAGCCA